GAGGGGCUGUGGCUCAGGAACAGAGCAUCUGCUUGGCAUGCAGAAGGUCACAGGUUUGAUUCCUGGGCUCUCCA
rnacentral:tRNA from 1 species